rnacentral:rRNA from 1 species
UGGGGAAUCUUGGACAAUGGGGGCAACCCUGAUCCAGCCAUGCCGCGUGAGUGAUGAAGGCCUUAGGGUUGUAAAGCUCUUUCGACGGGGACGAUAAUGACGGUACCCGUAGAAGAAGCCCCGGCUAACUUCGUGCCAGCAGCCGCGGUAAUACGAAGGGGGCUAGCGUUGUUCGGAAUUACUGGGCGUAAAGCGCGUGUAGGCUGACCGAUCAGUCAGGGGUGAAAUCCCGGGGCUCAACCCCGGAACUGCCUUUGAUACUGUCGGUCUGGAGUCCGGAAGAGGUGAGUGGAAUUCCGAGUGUAGAGGUGAAAUUCGUAGAUAUUCGGAGGAACACCAGUGGCGAAGGCGGCUCACUGGUCCGGUACUGACGCUGAGACGCGAAAGUGUGGGGAGCAAACAGGAUUAGAUACCCGGGUAGUCC